CACGCCCUGGAAUAAAAAUAUUGCAAACUAAAAUAAGAAAAUGCACUAGUUUGUUUGCUUUCCAGUCAUGCAAUACAGAAGAUCAAAGUAUGGUGUCUCAGUUUCCUGCCUCCUGUUCCACUGCAGAAACAGUGCAGAGUUAAAGAUAAUUGGUAGGGAAAAUUAACACUGCGUAUAGGAAUUUUGAUAUCAGUGCAACAGUUCUCUAAUCUCAAAGAAUUAUGUUUUACCCUUUCCCCUCUCUUCUGGAGGCCCGCCUUGAAUUUCCAUUUCUCUAUGGUCAGAGGUUCCUGGUCCAUCAUGCCAAGGACGCUUGCGAGGUGGCAGUGAUGCCAUGUCCAUUCCCUGGAUUGAGGAAGAACGUUCUCGACUUGCUGGAGAAUGACCAUCAUGAGGUGGAUGAUCCUGGCGGGGACCUAACCAUGAUGGGGGGGGGGGGG